rnacentral:pre_miRNA from 1 species
GAUUUCAACUGAAAUAGUCAUCAACAACAAAGUUGUAUAACUCAUCAAAAUCUAUAACUUUUAUUUUUGUCAUUUCUUCAUCUGACAAAGUGAUAGUAACAUUGUUCAAAAAAUUUAUAUAUCUCUCCUACAGUUUAUAAACUAUAUUAGAGAUAUGUACAUUUUGUGAACAACGUUACAAAUUACUUUGUCAGAUGAACAAAUGACCAAAAUAAAAAUUAUAGAUCUAGAUGGAUUAUACAACUUUGUUGUUGAUGACUUUUUCAAUUGAAGUC